CCUACGGGCGGCUGCAGUGGGGAAUAUUGGACAAUGGGGGGAACCCUGAUCCAGCCAUGCCGCGUGUGUGAAGAAGGCCCUCGGGUUGUAAAGCACUUUCAGUGAGGAAGAACGCCUGGUGGUUAAUACCCAUCAGGAAAGACAUCACUCACAGAAGAAGCACCGGCUAACUCCGUGCCAGCAGCCGCGGUAAUACGGAGGGUGCGAGCGUUAAUCGGAAUUACUGGGCGUAAAGCGCGCGUAGGUGGCUUGAUAAGCCGGUUGUGAAAGCCCCGGGCUCAACCUGGGAACGGCAUCCGGAACUGUCAAGCUAGAGUGCAGGAGAGGAAGGUAGAAUUCCCGGUGUAGCGGUGAAAUGCGUAGAGAUCGGGAGGAAUACCAGUGGCGAAGGCGGUCUUCUGGACUGACACUGACACUGAGGUGCGAAAGCGUGGGUAGCAAACAGGAUUAGAUACCCUAGUAGUC
rnacentral:rRNA from 1 species